rnacentral:rRNA from 1 species
UACGUAGGGGGCAAGCGUUGUCCGGAUUUAUUGGGCGUAAAGAGCGUGUAGGCGGCCUGACAGGUCUGCUGUGAAAACUCGAGGCUCAACCUCGAGAUGUCGGCGGAAACCGUCUGGCUAGAGUCCGGAAGAGGAGAGUGGAAUUCCUGGUGUAGCGGUGAAAUGCGCAGAUAUCAGGAAGAACACCGAUGGCGAAGGCAGGUCUCUGGGCCAUAACUGACGCUGAGAAGCGAAAGCAUGGGGAGCGAACAGG